GGAAAAGCGUUGAUCGGGAAAAGUAAGUGCUCAAGGUUCUUUUGCAGCGAGUGCGGGCCGGUGGAAGCCGCACAGAGAAUGAGCCCCGAACGAACCCCCGUGAGCUUCCCCCUGAACCUGCUUCGGGCAGUUAGUAGGGGCCGACGGCAGCCGCUCGUUAUCGCGGCAGUGCUUUCAACGGGGAGAGUACACAAAAGUGACUGGUGUGUUCGCGCACCGGUAAUUUAGGUGGCACCACGGAUACGGCAGCAUUCGUCCUAGCA
rnacentral:ncRNA from 1 species